AAGCCUAAGAUCCGUACGGGCUGUGGGAGCAGGAGCCCGGAGAUGGACCCUGAGACAAGGGUCCAGGCCCUACGGGGCGCAGCAGGCGCGAAACCUCCGCAAUGCGGGAAACCGCGACGGGGUUAGCCGGAGUGCCCGUGCAUUGCACGGGCUGUCGGGGUGCCUAAACAGCACCCCAUAGCAAGGGCCGGGCAAGGCCGGUGGCAGCCGCCGCGGUAAGACCGGCGGCCCGAGUGGCGGCCACUCUUAUUGGGCCUAAAGCGUCCGUAGCCGGCCCAGUAAGUCCCCCGGGAAAUCUGGUCGCUUAACGAUCAGACUUCCGGGGGAUACUGCUGGGCUAGGGACCGGGAGAGGCCGAGGGUAUUCCCGGGGUAGGGGUGAAAUCCUGUAAUCCCGGGAGGACCACCUGUGGCGAAGGCGCUCGGCUGGAACGGGUCCGACGGUGAGGGACGAAGGCCUGGGGAGCGAACCGGAUUAGAUACCCGGGUAGUCCAGGCUGUAAACGAUGCGGGCUAGGUGUCACCGGAGCUACGAGCUCCGGUGGUGCCGGAGGGAAGCCGUUAAGCCCGCCGCCUGGGAAGUACGGCCGCAAGGCUGAAACUUAAAGGAAUUGACGG
rnacentral:rRNA from 1 species